rnacentral:rRNA from 1 species
GACGAACUCUGGCGGCGUGCUUAACACAUGCAAGUCGAACGGUAAGGCUCCAGCUUGCUGGGGUACACGAGUGGCGAGCGGGUGAGUAACACGUGGGUGACCUGCCCUGCACUUCGGGAUAAGCCUGGGAAACUGGGUCUAAUACCGGAUAGGACCGCACCGUGAGGGUGUGGUGGAAAGUUUUUUCGGUGUGGGAUGGGCCCGCGGCCUAUCAGCUUGUUGGUGGGGUAAUGGCCUACCAAGGCGGCGACGGGUAGCCGGCCUGAGAGGGUGGACGGCCACAUUGGGACUGAGACACGGCCCAGACUCCUACGGGAGGCAGCAGUGGGGAAUAUUGCACAAUGGGCGGAAGCCUGAUGCAGCGACGCCGCGUGGGGGAUGACGGCCUUCGGGUUGUAAACUCCUUUCACCAUCGACGAAGGGUUUCCGACGGUAGAUGGAGAAGAAGCACCGGCUAACUACGUGCCAGCAGCCGCGGUAAUACGUAGGGUGCGAGCGUUGUCCGGAAUUACUGGGCGUAAAGAGCUCGUAGGUGGUUUGUCGCGUCGUCUGUGAAAUUCCGGGGCUUAACUCCGGGCGUGCAGGCGAUACGGGCAUAACUUGAGUACUGUAGGGGAGACUGGAAUUCCUGGUGUAGCGGUGAAAUGCGCAGAUAUCAGGAGGAACACCGGUGGCGAAGGCGGGUCUCUGGGCAGUAACUGACGCUGAGGAGCGAAAGCAUGGGGAGCGAACAGGAUUAGAUACCCUGGUAGUCCAUGCCGUAAACGGUGGGCGCUAGGUGUGGGUUUCCUUCCACGGGAUCCGUGCCGUAGCUAACGCAUUAAGCGCCCCGCCUGGGGAGUACGGCCGCAAGGCUAAAACUCAAAGGAAUUGACGGGGGCCCGCACAAGCGGCGGAGCAUGUGGAUUAAUUCGAUGCAACGCGAAGAACCUUACCUGGGCUUGACAUAUACAGGAUCGCGCCAGAGAUGGUGUUUCCCUUGUGGCUUGUAUACAGGUGGUGCAUGGUUGUCGUCAGCUCGUGUCGUGAGAUGUUGGGUUAAGUCCCGCAACGAGCGCAACCCUUGUCUUAUGUUGCCAGCACGUUGUGGUGGGGACUCGUAAGAAACUGCCGGGGUUAACUCGGAGGAAGGUGGGGAUGACGUCAAAUCAUCAUGCCCCUUAUGUCCAGGGCUUCACACAUGCUACAAUGGUCGGUACAGUGGGUUGCCAGUCCGUGAGGGCGAGCUAAUCCCGCAAAGCCGGUCUCAGUUCGGAUCGGGGUCUGCAACUCGACCCCGUGAAGUCAGAGUCGCUAGUAAUCGCAGAUCAGCAACGCUGCGGUGAAUACGUUCCCGGGCCU